UUUCGCCCCAGAUCAUCUCCUCCUCCCAGCAGGAAGGAAAUGGCUGCAAUGGAGCUGGCUCAGGGGCCGGUGACCUUCGAGGAGGUGGCUGUGUAUUUCACCAGGGAGGAAAUGGCUCUGCUGGAUCCUGUUCAGAAGAGCCCUCUACAGGAUGUGAUGCAGGAGAACUAUGAGACGGUGACCUCGCUGGGGUUUCCUAUUUCCAAACCUGAUGUGAUCUCGCAGCUGGAACAAGGGGAAGAACCGUGG